rnacentral:rRNA from 1 species
UUCUGCACGCAGUCGCUUCGGCGGCUGAGUGGCGCACGGCUGAGGAACACUGGUAUCUUGCCCCGGAGUGGGGGAUAACAGCGCGAAAGCGCUGCUAAUCCCGCAUAACGAUCGCGCAAGCGAAGAAAGCAGCGAUGCUGCUCUGGGAGGAGCCUGCGGCCUAUCAGGUCGUUGGUGUGGUAACGGCGCACCAAGCCGAUGACGGGUAGCUGGUCUGUGAGGACAACCAGCCAGACUGGGACUGAGACACGGCCCAGACUCCUACGGGAGGCAGCAGCAAGGAAUUUUCCCUAUUGGGCGCAAGCCUGAGGGAGCAACGCCGCGUGCAGGACGACGGCUUACGGGUUGUAAACUGCUUUUGGAGGGGAAGAUACUGACGGUACCCUCCGAAUAAGCCCCGGCUAACUCUGUGCCAGCAGACGCGGUAAUACAGAGGGGGCAAGCGUUGUCCGGACUGACUGGGCGUAAAGCGCACGCAGGCGGUUGCGGGCGUCGGUGCUGAAAGUCCACUGCUUAACAG